GGAACACUACCAAGAUCUGGUUAGAAAAAAAGUAAUUAUAGAGGGAAGAUUAGCAUGGCCCUUCACAAGAAUGAUACACAAAUUUGUGAAGCGUUCUGUAUUUUU